AUGGAAAUCGCCAGUCUAUUGUCCAGGACCGGUCCCAAGUAUAGCACAAAUUCAUGUGUCUAGGUUUUGGGGUUGCCUUAUUGAACACAAAAGUCAUUGCUGUAUGGUGAUUACAUGUAUCUUAAAAAGCCUUCAAGCUGAUUUGUAUCACUAGAGUCAUUUCUUCCCCUAGAGGCUACCAUUAAAAGACUUCCACUGCUUCAGUAGCUUGAGAACAGAAAAGCACUUGAGAACAGAACAGAACAGCGACAGCCAUCCCAAUUUGUCCUAGAUCCCACUGAUUCUUCUGUUUGAUGCAUCUUCUCAU